UGCUCCUGAGAUGCUGCUUGGCUGCUGUGUUCAUCCAGCUUCACACUUUAUUAUCUUCAACGCCAUUAGCACAUGUUGGUGGUCUGAUUAAUUUGCCUUUGUUUUAGAGUGGGUCAUGAAGGUCACAGCUUUAGGAACAGCCAUUAAACCUCUGCAGGUAAAGAAAGGGAAAAGUCUUUCUGGCACAGACUGGGCAGGCUGAAGGGUGUAGAGCUGUAGAGCUCUGUGAUUCUAUGACUGAGAUGUACUUUCAAUGAGUGCUGCCAGCCAGCUAUAGUCAAAAGGAACCAGGACAAACACAUUUAAAACUGCUCAGUUACCAAUGUUAAUGCUAUCAGUAAUAUUCACUGCAAAGACCACAAUGUCUAGUAUGUAUUCUUCAUGAAUAACUCACUCAGGUCAGAUAUCUUUUAACUUUUAUCUUUUUUGGGACUCACUUAUCAUUCCUAAUCUGCACGUAUCUGUAAAAUUGUUUUGCCUUAAAUUAUAAACAGCAGCGUUAACCCUGGAAUGCAUAGAUAACUGCUGGCUAUAUAAAUGUAAAUUGUUGUUGUUGAAUUAAUGCUGAGCAGACUCUAUAAUAAAUGUCUGCGGCUUCACCAGCUAUUAUCCUAGUGAUAAAAUCUUAAACUAUUAACUCUCAAACUGCUAUCAAAUGAAAAUACAUUGAUUUGAUCAUACUUUUGUGUGUCUUGCCAAUUUUCCCAUUAGUGAUCAUUUUUCCUCUGUAUAACACUUAAAGAUGUGAAGCACUUUAAGUGACAUAUACAAGUUUUUGCCAGCAUUAUAAUUAAUACUCGAAGUAAUAUCUGGUUAACAAAUGAUAGGAAAUUGAUCCAAAUGAUUCUUCAAGAAAUUGCUGAAUAACAGGCAGCAAUACAAUGCAAUUAUUAUGUCAUUGUUUCUGAUUUUUCUCAAAUUUAUGAAUGCCUUCUCUGAAGAAAAUGACCCUCUCUAGGCCAUAUAUUCAGGUACUGGCAUUCUGUAGCCCUACUGAAUUAUUGCCAUCCCUUUGUCUUCACCAUUGCCUUAACCACAAAUAAUAGUACCUCUGACCACUUCUUCGUAUCCCUUGUCCCCUAAAAGCCCCUUCGUCCUUUCAAUCAUCCUUUCAGCUCCUGACCUGGAAAAUGAAACUCCUCCCAAGUCACUGACAACUGCAAUUUAAAGCAACCAACUGUUUAGUCUUUGGCCCUACAUUUCAACAGCAAUAGCUUGUAUUUGUAUCAUGGCUUUAACAUCCCCGAGGCAAGAGCUUUAUAAUUCAAUAUUUAGCACCGAGUCACCUGAGAUGACAGUGGAUGUUUUAUAAACAUUUGAAAAGAGAAGGGAAGAUGUUAUGCUCAGAGCCCAGACGUGGUUUGCCACAAUUUAAGGUUCCAGAUGGGAUACUCCAAUCUAGUCCAGUGUACUCGACAUUAACAAUGUUUUUUCUGCACUGGAGAGACCAAAUUUGCUUGAACGCCUUGGUCAGCCUGCAAGCAUGAUCCUAAGCUUCUGAUGGCCAGUUAUUUUAAAUGCCCAUCUUGCUCUCAGGCCAGCAUUUCUCUAUUCAGUUUACUGCAACUUCCUAGUGAAGCUCAAUAUAAACUUCAGGAAUGAAACCUCAUGCAUCAAUUAGACCCUUCAUUGGAUUUCAGAUUCAAUACUGUGUUCAACAAUUCCAGACCAUAAUCAUGGCACCCAUUUGGAUUUGAUUUCUUUGUUUUUUGGUUCUUUCAGCCAAAGACACACUUGCUCUAGGCACAUCUUUUGUUUCUUUGUUUCUUCCCUUGGUCCAUCACCAUUUUGGCCACAGACUAACUCAUCUGUCAUUCAAUCUCUCCUGCCUUUCAUCUUGUCACAGAUCCUUGAUUGGUCUUUGUUGGCUCACCCUUGCUCAAAACUGAUCUCUAAUUUUCCCAUUACUGAUAAUUUCUCCUCUGUAUAACACUCAAGGCUGUAAAGCAUUUUAAGUGACAUAUACGAGCUUUUGCCAGCAUUAUAAUUAAUACUCAAAGUAACAUCUGGUUAACAAAUGAUAGGUAAUUGAUCCAAAUGAUUCUUCAAGGAAAUGCUGAAUAACAGGCAGCGAUACAAUGCAGUUCUUACAAUAUUGUAACUGAUUUUACUCAAAUUUAUACAUGCAUUCUCAGUCAAAAUGACCCUGACUCGGCUUUGUGACAAGGAAGGGUCACUGGACCUGAAACAUUAACUCUGAUUUUUUUUUCUUCUCAGAUGCUGUCAUACCUGCUGAACCUUUCCAGCAACUUCUGCUUUUGUUUCUAAUUUUCUCCAGUUCUGAUGGGAGUUCACAGGCCUGAAAAGCUAACUGUUUCUCCCCAUGGAUGCUGCUAUCACCUGCUGAGUGUCUUCAUCAGUUUCUGUUUUCAUUUGAGAUUUCAAUCUAUCUGCAGUAUUUUGCUUUUCAAAGUGAUGAUAAACCUAUCGAAAAUAGUGAUUCAGCUUCAUUGGGAGAAGUGCAUUCAGUUGUGAGCACCACAGUUUAAGAGGAAGUUUCAGAGAUGCUCAAAAUCAUGGUGGGCCUAGACACAUAAACACAGAGAGAUUGUUCUUGUUAAGGGGAGGGUGGAGAAUCAGGAGGUCCAAUUUAAAGUGAUUGUCAAAAGAAAAGUGUCAACAUGAGCAAAAAUUUAUUCCAUGCAGCAAGAUUUUGUUGUUUUUUUUGGUGAAGCAACGAAGAGGAUUGAUGAGGGCAGAGUGGUGGAUGUGAUCUAUAUGGAUUUCAGUAAGACAUGAAUACUGCUCAUAGUAGACUGCUUUGUAAGGUUAGAUCACCUGAAUACAGGGAAAGCUAGCUGUUUAGCUACAGAACUGGGUUGAAGAUAGAAGGCAGAGGGUGGUGGUGGUGGAGUGUUGUCUUUCAGAAUGGAAGCCUGUGACCAGAGGUGUGACACAAGGUUUGAUGCUGGGUCCGCUGAUUUUCAUCAUUUAUAUAAAUGAUUUGGAUGUGCAUAUAGAAGGUAUGGGUAGUAAGUUUGCAGAGGCACGAAAAUUGAAGGUGUAAUGGACAGAAAGAAAGGUUACCUCAGAGUACAAUGGGACCUUGAUCAGAUGGGCCAAUGGGUCAACGAGUGGCAGAUGGAGUUUAAUUUAAAUAAAUGUGAGGUGCUGCAUUUUGGAAAGGCAGAUCAGGGCAGACUUAUUCACUUAAUGAAUGAAGUUUUGUGGAGAAUUGCUAAACAGAGAGACCUUGGAGUGCAGGUUCAUAGUUCAUUGAAAGUGGAGUUGCAGGUAGAUAUAAUAGUGAAGGAGGUGUUUGGUGUACUUGGUCAGUGCAAUGAGUAUAAGAGUUGCGAGGUCAUGUUGCAGCUCUGCAGGAUAUUGGUUAGUUAACGUUUGGAAUACUGCAUGAAAGUCUGGUCUCCCUACUAUAGAAAGGAUGUUGUGAAACUCGAAAGGAUUCUGCAAAGAUUUACAAGGAUGUUGCCAGGGUUGGAAAUUUUGAGCUAUAGGGAGAGGCGGAAUAGACUAGGGCUAUUUUCCCUGGAGCAGCGGAGGCUGAGGGGUGACAUUAUACAGGUUUAUUUAUUUACGAGGAAUAUGAAUAGGGUAAAUAAACAAGGUCUUUUCCCCGGUGUGGCAAAAUCCAAAACUAGAGGGCAUAGAUUUAAGGUCAGCGGGAGAAAUUUUAACAAGGACCUAAGGGGCAACUUUUUCAUGCAGAGAUUCAUGCAUAUAUGGAAAGAACUACUAGAGGAAGUAGUGGAGGCUGGUACAAUUACAACAUUUAAAAGGAAUCUGGAUGGGUAUAUGAAUAGGAAGGGUAUAGAAGGAUUUGGCCAAAUGCUGGCAAAUGGGACUAGAUUUAUUUAGGAUAUCUGGUUGACAUGGAGGAGUUGGUCCAAAGGUCUGUUUCCAUGCUAUAUAUCUCAACGACUCUGAGUGGUUAAAAUCUGGAAUGCACUGCCUGAAAGUGUGGCUGAGGCAAAUUUUAAUUAUUCCUUUGGAAUGAAAAUUAGACAAUUACAUGAAAAGAAAAAAUUGCUGAUGUCCAGGGAUAAGACAGGAGAGUGGGAUUAUAUGUGAAUGUUGGAGAGGAAUGAGUCAAACAGUCUUGUUUGAUCCUGUAACCAUUCUGAGUUCUGUCCCAUGCAACACAGAAUAACAGGUCAAAACUGUUUUGGCCAUUUUGGUAGACAAAGACCAAUGAACCUUAGAAAUUUCAUUUUACACGAGAAAUUGAAAUAUCACCAAAGUGACUGUUUUCACUUGGCGCAUAUUCCUAGCCAAGAAAUGUCAUGAAUUGAGAGAGGCAUCUAACAUUUUUGCAUUCUUUUCCCUUCAGUCCCUCAGGAGCUUUUCCGAAUUCCCAUUGUAAUUGGUUGGAAUAAAGAAUGCAGUGUAUAAUACUUUUAUUCCACACGGGAAUGGGGGAAUAGAAAGAUGUUGCCCAAGUUUUGAUCAUGUGUGCAGAUGAGAUGAGGAAUGCAGAAUGUAAUUGAAAACUGUGCAAUCAUCACUGAUCAUCUCCGUUUGGCUUUUUGAUUGAGGGAACAGUCAUUGAUGGCCCACAGCCCCUUAUCAGAAUAAGACUAACUAUUCAGAGAGUUUUCCACAAAAGGGCGAGUUCCUGGAAUCAGCGAAGCAGACUGCAUCAUUGCCAACUGUUUGUGGCAACUCGUGUUGACAGACGCAGGAAAUACAGAACUUCUGACUGUCUGCUUUUCUAAAGCUGCCUUUCUCAGAAGGGCAAUAAUUCAGCUAGUUACAAGAUUUUGUCACAUUUGCAGACUUCAGAUGGAUGGAUAAACUUUAGGAUGUCCGUGUAUACAUCAAAAGGAGCACCUUCACCACAUGGAAUAGAGGACCACCUUUUCAAGGACAACUGGCGAUGAAUAAUACACGUUACCUUGCUGGUGACACCCAUAGAGAAUUAAUUGGCAAACGACAGUGUGGCGGAUAAGAAACAAUGAGUAAUUCUCCUGAGACCCUGUGAAGCUGCAGCUUUUUUUGUUACUAGGAUCCUAACUUUCCCUGAGGCACCAGAUACAAAAACCUAUCAAGAGUUGACUGAUAUAGUUAAGGAAGAUUAUGACCCCAAACCUCCUCUAAUUCUGAUGUCCUAUUGCUUUUACUCAGCAAUUUGAGAACCAGCGCAAUCUGUAUUGGGGGUUUUGACUAGGUGGAGAUCAUAAGCAGAAGCCUUUGAAUUUGACUUAAACCCUAAUGAAAUGCUGAGAGACCGCUUGGUAUGUUGGAUUAAUAAUGUAAAUAUGCAAAAAUGCCCAUUAGCUGAAUCCCAACUGGACUUCAAACAAGCACCACAAUCGGCUUUAUCAUUGGAAAAUGUGGCAAGUGGAGAACAUUUUUCAAGGUCUACCUCAUGUCACCAUUUACCUAGAUGACGUCCUGGUAACAGGGAAAAUAAAUAAGGAACACUUUGAGAACUUAAAAUAUAGUCCUGAGGCAUUUUUCCAAGGCAAACGUAUGCCUAAGAAGGGAAAAGUGCAUGUUACAGGUCUCCAAAGUGACCUAAGUUAGAGACAAAAGACCUGCAGAUGCUAGAAUCCAAGGUAGAAAAACGCGAGGCUGGAAGAACACAUCAAGCCAGGCAGCAUCUGGAAGAAAGGAGAAGUCAACAUUUCAGAUGCGCCAGACCUGUUUAACUUUUUGUGUGUCAAUAAAGGGUGAUCAGUGAAGGGAAUUAGCCUCUAUGGAGUUAUUUCAGAAGCACAGAACAGCCUUGAUUGGCAGUUUUAUAUGGGACUACACGAUCGGGUGCAACUGAGAUGGAAAUCAUGGGAAAUAUGUCAUUCUGCCAUCUCACUUUCUUUUAACUGAAACACAUCCUUCAGCCCUGUCUAAAGGACAUAAUAUCAGAAAAUGGUAGGCACUAAAAUGUUCUAACAGAGAGGAAUUCCUUUCCAUUUUCUAUUAGCUGCUGGUGACUCUUACACCAGAGUUAGAAGCCAGGAGCAGAAAUCUCACUUCUCCAAAAUCCAAACAGUGUUGCCAUCAAAUUUCGGUAACUCCAACAUUUUUUAAGCGAUAACAUGUAUGAACCAUUGUAAAAUGCUGACAGCAUCAUUAUUCUCACCAGAUGUUUUGCUAAGUAUUUUUGUUUCUUGUAAGUGAAAUAAAAUGUCACACAGGAACAUUAACACGCUCGACACCUCAGAUACAACAGUCUAUACCCUGAGAUCUACAGUAGUAACUUGACAAUGAUUCUUUACCCGCACUUUCCAAACCAAUGACCAUUAUCAUACCAUAACACAAUUCCCAAUUCUCCCUUUAGGGAGAUCUUGGUUACCAAUCAUAAACAGUGCCCAUUAAUUGUUUGUCACAUGAACAGUCAUCCACUCUGUCCACUUCCCUUUCUCUCUCUUUUCGUUUAUACUCCUUUUUCUUUUAACCACCCAUCCUUGGUCGGCAUCGGUGAUGUCCAGGGUGAAAGCCAAUGUGGACUCCCGGCCUCAGCAUGGAUUCAGUCUCCCAGCCUCAGUGUGAUCUCAGACUCCCAACUCAGUGUGAUCUCAGUCUCCCAGCCUCAGUGUGGGCUCAGACUCCCAGCCUCAGCGUGAUCUCAGUCUCCCAGCCUCAGUGUGGUCUCAGACUCCCAGCCUCAGUGUGGUCUCAGACUCCCAGCCUCAGUGUGAUCUCAGACUCCCAGCCUCAGUGUGGGCUCAGACUCCUGGCCUCAGCGUUGACCCAGACUCCCAGCUUCGGUGUGAUCUCAGACCUCCAGCCUCUGCGUGGAUUUAACUCCUGGUUUCAUGUGGAUUCACAUUACCAGCCUCAGCCUGGAUUUGACUCCAGGCCUUGAGGUGAAGUCCAAGUAGCCUGGGUUGGGAGGACUGUUGUUCUGAACUCUUAUUUCUCUAUUUUCUAAAUUAUUGCUGGAUUUUUUUUUUACUUUGUGAUUUUUCUAAUUGUUUCCUGAAAGAUUUGUAUUUAAGAAUCUGUACCUAGGUAACUUGAUAUCUAAAAUGACGUUGAAAUUGGCGUUGUAAACUUUUCACUGUGCUCAUGCGAAUACAUGUGACAAUAAAGCUAAUUCUAAUUCUAA